UACGUAGGGCGCAAGCGUUGUCCGGAAUUAUUGGGCGUAAAGAGCUCGUAGGCGGUUUGUCGCGUCUGCUGUGAAAACCUAAGGCUCAACCUUGGGCUUGCAGUGGGUACGGGCAGACUAGAGUGCGGGUAGGGGUGACUGGAAUUCCUGGUGUAGCGGUGGAAUGCGCAGAUAUCAGGAGGAACACCGAUGGCGAAGGCAGGUCACUGGGCC
rnacentral:rRNA from 1 species